CACGUAGGGGGCAAGCGUUGUCCGGAUUUAUUGGGCGUAAAGAGCGUGUAGGCGGCUUUACAGGUCCGUUGUGAAAACUCGAGGCUCAACCUCGAGACGCCGGUGGAAACCGUAAGGCUAGAGUCCGGAAGAGGAGAGUGGAAUUCCUGGUGUAGCGGUGAAAUGCGCAGAUAUCAGGAAGAACACCCGUGGCGAAGGCGGCUCUCUGGGACGGUACUGACGCUGAGACGCGAAAGCGUGGGGAGCGAACAGG
rnacentral:rRNA from 1 species